GGUAACCAUAAAAAAAACGCACUUGGGAUGCAAUGCCGCAAGAGAGAAAAAGGAGAGGAGGAAGACGAUGAUGUUAUCAGAAACAAUAAUGCAAUGCCAUAAGAGAGAAAAAAGGAGAGGAGCAGAGAAAAAGGAGAGGAGGAAGACGAUGAUAUCAGAAACUGCAAUGUCGCGAAGAGUUUGUGGUUUAUUUAACAUGAAAUGGGACGUCGGUUGCAACAGAAACCGACGUCUAUAGUCCCAUAGACGUCAGUUAUCUAACUAAUCGGACGUCAAAGAUAACUUUUAAUUUGAUUUUUUAAAUGCAUAUUAGACGUCGGUUAUUGCGCUGAACUGAUUGACAUUUCAUUUCCUGUCAGGGAAGUAGACGACAGUUAUCCAGGGCGCCGACGUCUAUAACAAUAUAGACGUCGGAGCUCUGUUAUCGGACGUCGAAGUGCCUGCAAGUUUGGUAAACAUCAUUAAUUACAGGCACAUAGAAGUCACCCACCGAGAAAUCCGACGUCUAUAUUGUAGAAAUU
rnacentral:lncRNA from 1 species